GCGGGUGUAACUCAGUGGUAGAGUAAUAGCUUCCCAAGCUAUGGGUCGCGGGUUCAAGUCCCGUCACCCGCU
rnacentral:tRNA from 1 species